CCUUGGUGAAUAAGUCCGCCAGAUUUUCACUUGAGCGAAUUUGUUGCACGUCGAUAUCGUAACCCUUUUGAAGGUCGUGUGUGUAGAAGAGCUUGGGAAAAAUAUGCUUCGUCUUAUCUCCUUUGAUGUAUCCUUCCUUGAGUUGCGCGAUGCAAGCAGCAUUAUCUUCAUAUAAAACAGUUGGUUUGGCCUUUGAUGAAGUUAACCCGCACGACUCUUGGAUAUGACUCGUCACAUUUCUCAACCAUACACAUUCUCGACUUGUUUCGUGGAUUGCAAUGAUUUCAUAAUGAUUUGAGG
rnacentral:lncRNA from 1 species